rnacentral:rRNA from 1 species
GCAAGUCGAGCGCUCACUUCGUUGGGAGCGGCGGACGGGGUAGUAACGCGUGGGAACAUACCCUUUUCUACCGAAUAGCCUCGGGAAACUGAGAGUAAUACCGUAUACGCCCCUCGGGGGAAAGAUUUAUCGGUGAAGGAUUGGCCCGCGUUGGAUUAGAUAGUUGGUGGGGUAAUGGCCUACCAAGUCGACGAUCCAUAGCUGGUUUGAGAGGAUGAUC